rnacentral:lncRNA from 1 species
CUGCAUAAAGCAUAUGUAUUUCUUACUCAUAUAUUGCUCCUUAUACCAAUACAAAAUUUAAAAAAUUAUCCCUAUUAGAGUUUAUUGCAUCUUUCUCUAUAUAUUCUAACAGAUAAUGAAAGAACAGAGCUGGACUUAUAGCGCAGUUCCUGCUUCCCCGAGUCUGUGUGUUUCUUUCCACCCAAGAAGAACAUUAUGUUUUUUGGACUAUAUCUUUAUUUUUGUCUCAUUUUUCUAUUUUAGUUUUUUUUUCUUGUCAGUAAUACACUCAGAGAGCAGUUUUAUUGUUAUAACCCAUGCCUCCGAAUGUUAAAUUCAUUUCUUGGGAGAUUCUGAGCAAGCUUGAAGAAGCUGAGUAGGAUUCCACAGAGGACGAUUUAUGGAAAAGACAAGCAAAAGAAUGACUCACAUUUCAAGAGUUUCCUCCAACUUGAAACAUUUAUUCGAAUCUUAACUAAGAUGGACAGCUGUUCAUUCUAUAAUGAUUUUGAUUUUGCAACAUGAAUUUGAAAAAUCAGUGUAUAUUUUGACAGUGAAAAGUCAACACAUGGAGAGCAAGAAUUCUAUUAAGAGGACAUGAACUUAAUGAGACAGAAAACAAGCCUAGUGAGGGCAGGAGGGUCUCUGUGGAGAUGUGGUGUCCCUCUGGGCUUAGUUCAGAAAUAAACGUUCUUCAGUUUAAAUUCUGGUUAUAGGUCAUUAGGUAAUUCAGGAUUGCUUUAUUGCUAUUUCUUUGCUUUUAAAGACAAAGGAUUGAUGCAGCUAAGGGCAUCCUUGAUGUGUUAUAAACAAUUAGGAGGCUAUCAGGUUAUUCAGUUAAAGCAAUAAAAAAUAAAUUCAUACAUAGCCUUCUAGUUAUAUCUUCAUUUUUAUCCUACUUUUGAGUCACUAUCAGUUUGAGAUUUCUUCUCAGGCAGCAUACAAAGAGGUAAAAUUAAUAAAUGACAGUUAUUCUGCCUCAAGUUUUGUUACUUUUUGUGAAAUAAAAGGAUCUUCUUUGUAUUGCAAUAAAAAAAAU